AGGUUGUAGCUCAGUGGUUGAGCAUUUGCCUUGCAUGCAUGAGGCACUGGGUUCGAUCCUCGGCACCUA
rnacentral:tRNA from 1 species